GGCGACGAUCUGUAGCGGGUCUGAGAGGAUGAUCCGCCACACUGGAACUGAGACACGGUCCAGACUCCUACGGGAGGCAGCAGUGGGGAAUUUUGGACAAUGGGGGCAACCCUGAUCCAGCCAUGCCGCGUGAGUGAAGAAGGCCUUCGGGUUGUAAAGCUCUUUCGGCCGGGAAGAAAUCGCAUGGGCCAAUACCCUGUGUGGAUGACGGUACCGGAAUAAGAAGCACCGGCUAACUACGUGCCAGCAGCCGCGGUAAUACGUAGGGUGCGAGCGUUAAUCGGAAUUACUGGGCGUAAAGCGUGCGCAGGCGGUUUUGUAAGACAGGCGUGAAAUCCCCGGGCUUAACCUGGGAACUGCGUUUGUGACUGCAAGGCUAGAGUACGGCAGAGGGGGGUGGAAUUCCACGUGUAGCAGUGAAAUGCGUAGAGACGUGGAGGAACACCAAUGGCGAAGGCAGCCCCCUGGGUCGAUACUGACGCUCAUGCACGAAAGCGUGGGUAGCAAACAGGAUUAGAUACCCUGGUAGUCCACGCCCUAAACUAUGUCAACUAGGUGUUGGGUGGGUAAAACCAUUUAGUACCGUAGCUAACGCGUGAAGUUGACCGCCUGGGGAGUACGGCCGCAAGGUUAAAACUCAAAGGAAUUGACGGGGACCCGCACAAGCGGUGGAUGAUGUGGAUUAAUUCGAUGCAACGCGAAAAACCUUACCUACCCUUGACAUGCCAGGAACUUGCCAGAGAUGGCUUGGUGCCCGAAAGGGAGCCUGGACACAGGUGCUGCAUGGCUGUCGUCAGCUCGUGUCGUGAGAUGUUGGGUUAAGUCCCGCAACGAGCGCAACCCUUGUCGUUAAUUGCCAUCAUUUAGUUGGGCACUUUAACGAGACUGCCGGUGACAAACCGGAGGAAGGUGGGGAUGACGUCAAGUCCUCAUGGCCCUUAUGGGUAGGGCUUCACACGUCAUACAAUGGUCGGUACAAAGGGUUGCCAAGCCGCGAGGCGGAGCCAAUCCCAGAAAGCCGAUCGUAGUCCGGAUUGCAGGCUGCAACUCGCCUGCAUGAAGUCGGAAUCGCUAGUAAUCGUGGAUCAGCAUGUCACGGUGAAUACGUUCCCGGGUCUUGUACACACCGCCCGUCACACCAUGGGAGCGGGUUCCGCCAGAAGUAGGUAGCCUAACCGCAAGGGGGGCGCUUACCACGGCGGGGUUCGUGACUGGGGUGAAGUCGUAACAAGGUA
rnacentral:rRNA from 1 species